rfam:Triticum aestivum genome assembly, contig: Triticum_aestivum_CS42_TGACv1_scaffold_404292_5BL
CAUAUACUCCCUCCGUCCGAAAAUACUUGUCAUCAAAAUGGAUAAAAAAAAUGUAUCUAAAACUAAAAUACGUCUAGAUACAUCUCCUUUUAUCCAUUUGAAUGACAAGUAUUUUCGGACGGAGGGAGUAUUAU